UACGUAGGGUGCAAGCGUUAAUCGGAAUUACUGGGCGUAAAGCGUGCGCAGGCGGUUGUGCAAGACAGGUGUGAAAUCCCCGGGCUCAACCUGGGAAUGGCAUUUGUGACUGGAAGGCUAGAGUGUGUCAGAGGGGGGUAGAAUUCCACGUGUAGCAGUGAAAUGCGUAGAGAUGUGGAGGAAUACCGAUGGCGAAGGCAGCCCCCUGGGAUAACACUGACGCUCAUGCACGAAAGCGUGGGGAGCAAACAGG
rnacentral:rRNA from 1 species